rnacentral:rRNA from 1 species
UUUGGAAGGUAAAAAAUCGUAACAAGGUCUCCGUUGGUGAACCAGCGGAGGGAUCAUUAAAGAGUUCUAUAACUCCCAAACCCAUGUGAACAUACCGUACGUUGCCUCGGCACGCUGUAUCUGCCCUGUGGGAAGCUACCCUGUAGCACCUACUCGGGAGAUGCGUGAAGGCGUGCCGGCGGCCCAACCAACUCUGUUUGUUUUUGAAUUCUGAGUUAUAGUAAAUACGUUAAAACUUUCAGCAACGGAUCUCUUGGUUCUGGCAUCGAUGAAGAACGCAGCGAAAUGCGAUAAGUAAUGUGAAUUGCAGAAUUUAGUGAAUCAUCGAAUCUUUGAACGCACAUUGCGCCCAUUAGUAUUCUAGUGGGCAUGCCUGUUCGAGCGUCAUUUCAACCCUUAAGCCUCUGUUGCUUAGUGUUGGGAGCCUACGGUGCCGUAGCUCCUCAAAUUUAGCGGCGGAGUCGGUUCACACUCUAGACGUAGUAGAUUUUAUCUCGCCUGUGAGUUGGGCCGGCCUCUUGCCGUAAAACCCCCUAUUUCUUAAAGGUUGACCUCGGAUCAGGUAGGAAUACCCGCUGAACUUAAGCAUAUCAUAG